rnacentral:rRNA from 1 species
UACGUAGGGUGCAAGCGUUGUCCGGAAUUAUUGGGCGUAAAGAGCUCGUAGGCGGUUCGUCGCGUCGGCUGUGAAAACCCGGAGCUCAACUCCGGGCCUGCAGUCGAUACGGGCGGACUUGAGUGUUGCAGGGGAGACUGGAAUUCCUGGUGUAGCGGUGAAAUGCGCAGAUAUCAGGGAGGAACACCGGUGGCGGAAGGCGGGUCUCUGGGCAACUACUGA